AAGCUGAAAAUCAUGGAAAAUGAGAAACUUCCACUUGACAACUUGAAAAAUGACGAAAUCACUGAAAAACGUGAAAAAUGAGAAAUGCACACUGUAGGACCUGGAAUAUGGUAAGAAAACUGAAAAUCACAGAAAAUGAGAAAUACACACUUUAGGACGUGAAAUAUGGCGAGAAAAACUGAAAAAGGUGGAAAAUUUAGAAAUGUCCACUAUAGGACGUGGAAUAAGGCAAGAAAAAUGAAAAUCAUUGAAAAUGAGAAACAUACACUUGAAGACUUGAAAAAUGACGAAAUCACUGAAAAACGUGAAAAAUGAGAAAUGCACACUGUAGGACCUGGAAUCUGGCGAGAAAACUGAAAAUCACGGAAAAUGAGAAAUACACACUUUAGGACGUGAAAUAUGGCGAGGAAAACAGAAAAAGGUGGAAAAUUUAGAAAUGUCCACUGUAGGACAGGGAAUAUGGCAAGAAAACUGAAAAUCAUGAAAAAUGAGAAACAUCCACUUGACGUCUUGAAAAAAGACGAAAUCACUGAAAAACGUGAAAAAUGAGAAAUGCACACUGUAGGACCUGGAAUAUGGCGAGAAAACUGAAAAUCACGGAAAAUGAGAAAUACACACUUUAGGACGUGAAAUAUGGCGAGGAAAACAGAAAAAGGUGGAAAAUUUAGAAAUGUCCACUGUAGGACAUGGAAUAUGGCAAGAAAACUGAAAAUCAUGGAAAAUGAGAAACAUCCACUUGACGUCUUGAAAAAAGACGAAAUCACUGAAAAACGUGAAAAAUGAGAAAUGCACACUGUAGGACCUGGAAUAUGGCGAGAAAACUGAAAAUCACUGAAAAUGAGAAAUACACACUUUAGGACAUGAAAUAUGGCGAGGAAAACUGAAAAAGGUGGAAAAUUUAGAAAUGUCCACUGUAGGACAUGGAAUAUGGCAAGAAAACUGAAAAUCAUGGAAAAUGAGAAACAUCCACUUGACGACUUGAAAAAUGACGAAAUCACUGAAAAACGUGAAAAAUGAGAAAUGCACACUGUAGGACCUGGAAUAUGGCAAGAAAACUGAAAAUCACGGAAAAUGAGAAAUACACACUUUAGGAUGUGAAAUAUGGCGAGGAAAACAGAAAAAGGUGGAAAAUUUAGAAAUGUC
rnacentral:lncRNA from 1 species